rnacentral:lncRNA from 1 species
GAUAAUUUGCUCCUAUAAAAAAUUAUGUUACCCUAUAUUAAUCAGCUCGAAAACAAGAUUAACGGAUCAUUAAGGGAGAAUGAUCCUUCCUACCAAAAACAAAUCGCAACAAUCCAGAAAUCUGUGGGUUAGCUAGUGACCAGAAGUCAUAUAUAAGCGCCUCGUCAAUAACAAUAAAAUCCCGGCACGAUGAGAAAUUCAACGUGCUGAAUCAGUGAAAUUUGGUGGUGGUGAUGAGCUAGCAGAGGCUGAAGCAGAGGUCUUGUCAUGAUCACCCUUGCUAUCUCGGGAGUGAAAUAAACGCAAUGCCUUGGACAUGUUGCUGACGGACUCGGCCAAGUCCCCGACUAUUUUGGCCUUGAUCUGGCCCCUCUUAGGCGGAUGAGCAACCUGUUGUUUCUCCAGCUUGUUGCAUUGUUUCACGUCUUUAGCUCCUUCAUUCUCCAUUUCACCUGAGAAGCUGGUGCAAGAUGGAAUUAGUAGGGAACUUUCAGGGCAGAGUUUUGGGCUAUUAAUCACAAAUUGAGAAAAUGUUGAAUCCUCACAGUACCACAGAUGAAGAAAAAUUGAAGCUUUACGUAAAAGAGGGUGGUCUUUAGCUUUAUAAUAUAGGUGGAAUGCUGAAGAUCUUGGUUUUGUUUGGCGACUGAGCCAACCUUGACAGUAAUGAAGUUGUAAAUUUGAAUGAUCGUAGUGUCAAAUGACAGUGAAGAAGUCAAGAAGAAGAUACGUGGAAGAAGGAAGGAGGGUAGUCGCUCUGCGUGGUGAGGGCGUGACUUGGGAUGGAUCUACCUGGUGUCUCUGGUGUCUAGUGCUCCUCUUCUUCUCGU